rnacentral:rRNA from 1 species
CACUGCAGCUGUACUACCUUCAGCUGGGAUCUUGUCACUCUUCCUAAGCUAAUCAAGGUCAGGCUGGAGCAGUUCUUAGAUGGGAGACUUCCAGGGAAAUUGAAGUGUUGACUGAGC